GGUCCCAUAGCUCAGUUGGUUAGAGCGUCGUACUAAUAUUUCUUCUGAUGGAAAUGUUCAGUAAAUGCGAAGGCCGGCGGUUCGAGCCCGCCUGGGACCA